rnacentral:tRNA from 1 species
UCUCUAGUGGCUCAGAUGGUAAAGAAUCUGCCUGCAAUGCGGGAAACUCAGGUUCGAUCCCUGGGUAGGGAA